GGGGGGGGGGGGGGGGGGGGGGGGGGGGGGGGGGGCGAGAAGGUCACCUGUAUAAGCUCUUUACCUCUAUGUUAGUUACUUCUUCAUCCUAUCUUGCUCAAAAAGGUAUCUCUUUUUGUCUUCUGUUUUUUUAAGUUCUUAACCAAAUUCAAAAACUCCAUGGAUCAUCAAUUCUAGAGCCACUGACCAUAUGACAGUUUGUUGAAAAUUGUUUUCCACUUAUAGUUGUGCAGGUCAUAAAAAGGUAAAGAUAGAUGAUGGUACUUUUUCCACCAUAGCUGGAGUUGAUGCUAUCCCUAUUCCUAAAACUCUAACUCUUCACAAUG
rnacentral:lncRNA from 1 species